rnacentral:lncRNA from 1 species
AACCUAUGAUGCCUGAGAUGAGACCUUUAAUGUCCCCCAUACCUGCACUGCAUAUACUCUCCAGAGAAAAACAGAAAAGCAAACCGAACCCAAAACUUCAUCAGUACUUGUAGUCCUUGACAUGGAGGCUUUCCGCGGCACCCUCUCCAAGUUUGGCAUCACCCUUGUAGGUUCCAAGAGUGGCCUCAGAGUUUGCCUUGCACCUUACCAGGAAUGCUCCCCUGGCCUUCACAACAUUUUCCUCCUUUCCUGACCAGGCCUUGAGAGUGCUCUGCUGAAGUGCACGUCCAAAGGAGAAGGACAGGUUCCAUGGCUUCUUCCCCUUGAGCUUGUUCAUGGCAUUGAGGUUGAGAGUGGCCUCCUCCUCACUCUGCCCCCCAGACAAAAACACAAUAGCAGGAACAGCUGCAGGCACAGUUCGCUGGAGGGUCCGAACAGUGUACUCGGCCACCACCUCUGGGGAAACCUUCUUGGCUUCUGAUCCAGGAGUCACCAUGUUAGGCUUCAACAGAGUUCCCUCAAGCAGAACGUGAUGGUCAUUCAGUGCUUUGUAGCAUGCUGCCAGAACACGUUCAGUUACAUAAGCACACUUUUCAAUAUCAUGAGGGCCAUCCACCAGGAUCUCAGGCUCAACAAUGGGGACAAGGCCAUUCUCCUGGCAGAUCAUUGCAUAUCUUGCCAACCCAUAUGCAUUUUCAUGGAUUGCCAACUCAGAUGGCUCAGUAGGGCCAAUCUUAAGCACAGCACGCCAUUUAGCAAACCGGGCACCAGCUGCAUAGUAUUUUGCACAUC